GGCAGACUACUAUAGCAAGCCACUACAACCUGACUCCGGUUCGAGCACCUCAAACGGUUUACCCAGGCUUAUGAACAAUUUUAAGAAGCUGCAGGAUCCUUGUAGUGCUCAGCUGGGUGGAGAUAUGGAUGUGUGGCUGAAAGCAUAGCCUCCCUGGAGUCACAUCCACCUUUUGCCCAUCGCCAGCAUGACCUUGGCUCCACAGCUGGGUCGGGUUGUGGGGGCAUCAGCCUAAGCAGAGAAACCCAGAGCAUCUCUGUCCAGCCAGCCCCUCUGGGGUUUCAAGGGGAAAGUAGGGGUGUUCACAGGGCAGCCAAGAGACAAAAACCCGUCCAGCGUGUCCUGGGUCUACGCAUUGGCCUCCCAGCAGGACACACC